ensembl:lncRNA
GUCAUGUCUUUGUGUGUCUUGAUUAAGGACAAUAAUGACAGCAUGGACCAACAUGCUGUCAUCACAAACGGAGAUGUUGGUAUCCUGAGUGAGGAUGCAUCUUUCCACAGGCUUGUGGUAAGGACAUGCAAAGGAUCAACAAACAACAAAUCUUAUUUAAUAUACUUAACCAGAAUAAUUAUUUUCAACAUCUGAAUGCUGUUUAAUCAAAUUUUAGGAAAGGGCUCAGCAAGCUGAACACCAAAGAAGAGUCACUAGUGACCUUCUCGUGAAGUUCAUCACUCAGGAUAAAGGCCUGCUGCAACAUCUUGAAGUGAGUUUGAAAAUGGAAUUUGAGUCACAUACUGUAACUAAUUUUGAUCAAAACAUGAUAAGUGAAUGAUUUAAGUGAAACAUUUUCUGUUAGCCUAGUGUUUCUACAUUUAUUUUGUGCAUCCUCCCAAAAAAAAAAUAUUUUUACAGGCGGUCAUCGCAGGAAAAGUUGCAUCCACCUGGGCAGCAUCAAAGGGCAGGGUAAUAAUUUUCUUUGAGGAGGAUGAGCAGCUGGACAGAGUGCUGGGCUUCUUGACAAGCCUGGCUGAAGCACAGACAUCCAGGUGUCACAAUCACGUGGCAUUCGUUAUGGAUGUGCUUCUGCCAGAGGCAACUGUCCACGCCCUUGCAGCUGUCCAUGCAUUUUCUAUUGACAGAGCCAUGGAAAUGUAUAAAUGUGGACUGCAGUAUGACUUGAGUGAGAAACAGCUGUUGGCUCAUUACAUGGAAAAAAACAUGAGCAAGGAGGCACUACAAAAACUACAAAAAUACGCUGAAAAACUCAGAAGAGCUCUUGACUCUGAGGAGUUUUUGAAGAGGCUGUAGAAUCCAU